rnacentral:miRNA from 1 species
ACACUAGUUGAUCUUAUUGAUGAC